ACGAAGGUCCCGAGCGUUGUUCGGAAUCACUGGGCGUAAAGGGAGCGUAGGCGGCGUGGUAAGUCAGAUGUGAAAUCCCGGGGCUCAACCCCGGAACUGCAUCCGAUACUGCCGUGCUAGAGGAUUGGAGAGGUAGCUGGAAUUCUUGGUGUAGCAGUGAAAUGCGUGGAUAUCAAGAGGAACACUCGUGGCGAAAGCGAGCUACUGGACAACUCCUGACGCUGAGGCUCGAAGGCCAGGGUAGCGAAAGGGAUUAGAUACCCCUGUAGUCCUGGCAGUAAACGGUGCACGCUUGGUGUGAGGGGAAUCGACCCCCCCUUGUGCCGGAGCAAACGCGUUAAGCGUGCCGCCUGGGAAGUACGGUCGCAAGACUA
rnacentral:rRNA from 1 species